GUAUUUGAGACCCUUGGGCCCAGCGGUCGUCACCUAACAGAGGACAUAGUCUCUCUGACAGAGGUGAACUCUGUGUACAUCGUCCAGGAGUACAUGGAGACAGACCUGUGUCAGCUCCUGGAGAGGGGUCUCCUCUCUGAGGAUCACGCCAGACUCUUCAUGUACCAGCUGCUGAGAGGCCUCAAGUACAUCCACUCUGCCAACGUACUGCACAGAGACCUGAAGCCUGCCAACUUGUUCGUCAACACAGAGGACCUGGUGCUGAAGAUAGGAGACUUUGGACUGGCCGGAUCAUGGAUCCUCACUACUCACACAAGGGUCAUCUUUCUGAGGGCUUGGUGACUAAAUGGUACCGGUCUCCUCGCCUGCUGCUCUCUCCUAACAACUACACCAAGGCCAUUGACAUGUGGGCUGCCGGAUGCAUCUUCACCGAGAUGCUCACCGGGAAAACGCUCUUCGCAGGAGCCCAUGAACUGGAGCAGAUGCAGCUGAUCCUGGAGUCCAUCCCUGUGCUGAGAGAAGAGGACAGGCAGGAGUUACACAGUGUUAUCCCCGUCUUCAUACACGGUGACAUGUCCCAGCCGCACAACCCACUGGCCAAGCUACUGCCCGACGUCAGCCCACAGGCCCUGGAUUUCCUGCAAAAGAUCCUGACCUUUAACCCCAUGGACCGUCUGACAGCAGAAGAAGCCCUAGCCCACCCUUACAUGUCUGACUACUCCUUCCCCCUGGACGAACCCGUCUCGCUGCACCCCUUCCACAUAGAGGAUGAGGUGGAUGAUAUCUUACUGAUGGACCAGGGUCACAGCCACACCUGGGACAGCAGGUACCGUGACAGCCAGCUUUCAGAAGGGGACUGGCACCUCCACACCCACAGCAUUCUGGACACUGACGAGGUACAGGUGGACCCUCGGGCUCUGUCUGACCAAACUGACGAGGAGGAGGUUCAGGUGGACCCUCGUAAGUAUGCAGACGGAGACCGGGAGUUCCUGGACGGUCCUUCCUACGGCUACUCCUCCCUCUUCACUCCCGAACGCUCGUGGCCCGACCCCGAUGACGAACACUUCGACCUUCACCACGAGAACAAGUACUGUGACCUGGAGUGUUCCCACACCUGUAACUACAAGGUGGUGUCUCCGUCCUACCUGGAUAACCUGAUCUGGAGGGACAGCGAGGUCAACCACUACUACGAGCCCAAGCUCAUUAUAGAUCUGUCCAACUGGAAGGAGCAGCAGAGUAAAGAGAAACAGGCUCAGGCUGCAGGCAGAGACAAGGAGCACAAGGCCCAGAAGAGCAAGUGUGAGAAGAACGGCCUGGUGAAGGCUCAGAUGGUUCUACAGGUAGAGAAGGGCCCGGUGGAGAAGGACUCCCAGCAAGAGAAGAACCAGACCCAGACUACUCAACAGAAUCAAGGCUUUGACUUUGACUCCUUCAUCGCCGGCACCAUCAAACUGAGCCUGCGAACUGAGCCCAGCGACGUGGGACUCCUGGGGGACGUGGGCCUCCUGAGCGAGGUGGGAGUGGGCCUCCUGAGCGAGGUGGGCCUCCUGAACGAGCUCAACUCCUCUGUGUCCCAGCUGGAGGCUCCGCGGUCAGGCUCCAUGUCCAAAACCAUCAGCCAGGAGAAGGAGGAGAAGUGCCUGGUGAACUUUGCUCAGGUCAGCAUCACCGUGGGGACCGCUGGGCCUGGGGUGCGUCCCGCACACCCCUGGGAGAGCUUCGGAGGAGGGGAGAGGGUGGAGGAGCGGAGAGGUGGGUGUCUGAUGGACGGGGCGGGGCGCUGGGACGUUGGGAAAGAAGAGCAGCUCCAGAAGGAAAGCUGCUACACCAGCUACCUGGACAGACUGUUCAGCAGGAAGGACGAGGGCAGCGGGGAGAGUGCUGCUAGCGCCGCCGACACCCCAGAACCUGAGCCCUCGGAUGUGGGAGUGGAGAGGGAACGGGACGAGGCGGGCUUCCUGGCGCGGAGUGGAGAAAUCAUGUUUAACAUGCAGCUGGACUCUCUGGCGCUGCCGGGAUUCGAUGCUACGACCGACGUGCCGGUCAAAUCCAUCCAGGCCUCCCUCGCUCCCUCCACGGUCAAAUGCUCGCCUCAGAUCGCCCACACAACCUACAGCAGCUUCUUCAAGCAUCUGAAUUAAAAAAAACAAAUGAUACCCCAUACCAUGUUCCUCACAGUGCGAGAUCUCUAGGCUGGUUCUGUUCUGUUGUCCUUGUAUUUGAUUUCAUUAUGAUAGUGAUGUUAUUUUACUUGAAUCAUUUCAUACCAGAUCGUAUGGCUCCUUUUUUUUUAAAUUUUUUUUUUUUUAAAUAUCAACUUUUAUUUUGUAUUAUUUGUUUUGUUUGUUUUGUUGUUGUAGGAGUUAAAGGUAAAAUAGACUGGGCUGAAAAGUUGCCAGCAGAUCAAACAUCACAGUUAUUACCUCCGGGGUCACUGACCCCCUACCUGAGUCGAUCUCCCCAAUUCUCCCUCAGCAUUCACCAACUGGCAGCAUUUACACUGCACACUGAGUACUGGAGACUAGAAGGAGAGGAGACAAGGAAUGGGGAAGAGAGAAGGAAGGUGGAGAAUUGGACAGUGGGAGAUAUAUGGAGGGAUAUGAGAAGUGGUGCGAUGCUAAGCAGAACAGCCCUGUUGAUCCUGCAGCCUUUUUCCCCCUGAGCUCAUCACUGAUCUAAGACCUGUGGCUGAAUAAGUGAAAGGAAGGUUUGCACCCUAUCACUUAAACCAAUCAGACCCUCUCCGAUCAGUCAUGUGGUCAACACAGGAAGAGGUGUAUAGAAAUCACAGCUUUGUAUCUGUGCCAUUCUGGUGUCUGUGACAGCAUGGCCAGUGCCAUUGAGGCUAUCUCCAUUUUAAAGUACUCUAUUUUCUUCUUCUUUUGAUGUUUGAAGAGUGUCUAACGCUAAUAUUGUUGACUUUACCGCCACCUGCAGUCUUCGAGUCUUGAAACCAAAUCGUGUUAUUAAUUUAGUGGCCACUAGAUGGCGGUCAUAUAGCUUAAAGCCAUUUACAAACUAGGCAAACCAAUUUGAAGAAGACAAAUGCUCUGCUGAUCGCUCCCAACCCAUAGGAAUCCCCACCCAGUUCAAUACUUUAAAAUGGUGGAAGCCCUCAAUGGAAAUGUCCAAUGCAAAAACAGGUUAUUUCCAAGUAAUGAUCUCUACAUCUCCAUGGGAGGAAGGAUAAAUAUCUUAACAGAGCCAAUGUGAGAAGAUGGGAGGGCAUUGUGAACUAAAGGAGAGAGGUGUAUUGUGGGAGACGUAGUCAUGCUGACAUCACAAUCGCUGUAGGUCUUUUCACUAGGGAGGGGGGGACAGGCUUUUCUUUAAAAAAAAAAUUAAAAAGAGGUUUUAUUUGAAAAUGUACUUUAAUUAUUUUUACCAAGUGUUUUAAUUUAUUUCUGUAUAAUAUCCCAAAAGAGGCUUCCUGAAACCCCCUCAUUUCAUACUGUAGUUUGUUUGACACAUGAUGCCAGCAGCGAACCAUUACUCCUGGACCUUUUGUGAAUGUGUUAUCUACCUCAAGGUAACAGCAGCGAGAGACAUUCGAAGCCGCACUAGUGCUUUACACACACACACACCACACACACACUACCAUCCUCAUACACACACACCACACACACACUACCAUCCUCAUACACACACAACACACACUACCAUCCUCAUACACACACACAACACACACUACCAUCCUCAUACACACACACACACACGCGCGCACUACCAUCCUCAUACACACACACACCACACACACUACCAUCCUCAUACACACCACACACACUACCAUCCUCAUACACACCACACACACUACCAUCCUCAUACACACACCACACACACACUACCAUCCUCAUACACACACCACACACACACUACCAUCCUCAUACACACACCACACACACACUACCAUCCUCAUACACAACACACAGUACCAUCCUCAUACACACACACUCUCUCACUACCAUCCUCAUACACACACACACACAACACAUACUACCAUCCUCAUACACACACACACACACACACACAACACACACUACCAUCUUCAUACACACACACACGCACUCUCACUACCAUCCUCAUACACACACACACGCACUCUCUCACUACCAUCCUCAUACACACACACACGCACUCUCUCACUACCAUCCUCAUACACACACACACACUCUCUCACUAC